rnacentral:lncRNA from 1 species
UAAAAUUAAAAAUAAGUGGACAAUCGUUCCUUUAACUUUCUCUCUUCUCUCUCCUAGAAGCUUUUCAAAAAAAUCUCAGAUCCAUUCUUCGUGGCCUAGUUCUUCAUUCCCACAAUAUCCAUGGUGAUACAGAGACAGUUUCUUCUCCUCCCUGUCAGCAUGGGUGAGGUUUUUUCUCCUUUUUUGGCAUAGAUCUAGAACCGAUGUGGCGUUAGAGAGCGGUGCUACAGACCUCGGAUUUGAGGGAGUCGGCAGGUGUAGCGGCUGUCUCUCAUGGCUCGCCCGUUGUGUCGGAGAUGGAUCUACGGCGGAAGCCAAAGGAGGAGACGGUGGGUGGCUGAAGCGCCGUGGUGAUUAACGGUGGAUCAUUUGGAUCUCGCCGCCGCGGCUUGCUUUCUCCAGGUCGGUUCGAGGAGAUCUGGUGAAGCGAAUUGGAGACUCGCUGGUUCAAGAGAGGUGAGGUUAUGUCCGAAUUUGGAUGCUUGAUUGGUCUGGGAGUUGUCAACAACGUGCUGCAUAGUCAGAGGUUGGCCAUUCGGGAGGUUUGUGGUGGGUCGAUAGAUUGAGGUGAAGAAACGUUGACGGGGUUGGAUGUUUCCUUCCCGCUUUCUAGAAUCCUUGGUCUUUUGCAAAGCUGUGGACCUCGCAUUCGCCGGUGCUAAUGGCCUGACUCUCUGCUCGCGGUGUCAAUACGCCACGAGACGCUUUUCCGGCGCCGGUGAUUUUUAGGUUUCCGAUUUGCUUCAGUCUUUGUUCCUCUAUAUCUUGUGGCCCGGCCCAAUUGGGGGUUUUAAAUAAAUUGGCCCGUUUAAAAAAAAAAACUUAUAAGUAGUUGAUACUAAUCAUUUUAACUUUUCAAAAAAAUAAAAUAUAUUUAUUAUAUAUAUAUAUAUAGGCAAAACAUAACAAUAAUUAUGAAUGCUAACAAUAAAUAUAACAUGUUAAGUAAUAUUAUAUAACACUAAUAACAAUACAAUAGUAAUGUAUUU